rnacentral:rRNA from 1 species
AAAUGAAUAGACGGGGGCCCGCACAAGCAGCGGAGCAUGUGGUUUAAUUCGAAGCAACGCGAAGAACCUUACCUAGACUUGACAUCUCCUGAAUUACUCUGUAAUGGAGGAAGCCGCUUCGGCGGCAGGAAGACAGGUGGUGCAUGGUUGUCGUCAGCUCGUGUCGUGAGAUGUUGGGUUAAGUCCCGCAACGAGCGCAACCCUUAUUGUUAGUUGCUACCAUUUAGUUGAGCACUCUAGCGAGACUGCCCGGGUUAACCGGGAGGAAGGUGGGGAUGACGUCAAAUCAUCAUGCCCCUUAUGUCUAGGGCUACACACGUGCUACAAUGGCUGGUACAGAGAGAUGCGAUACCGCGAGGUGGAGCCAAACUUCAAAACCAGUCUCAGUUCGGAUUGUAGGCUGAAACUCGCCUACAUGAAGCUGGAGUUGCUAGUAAUCGCGAAUCAGAAUGUCGCGGUGAAUACGUUCCCGGGCCUUGUACACACCGCCCGU